AAACAGUGUUAUCAAGUGUAACAGCAACUCCAUGUGGAAUAAAGUCUCUUUCCAGUGGAGGUGGUGUUACUUUUGAAAGC
ensembl:miRNA microRNA 194-1